rnacentral:lncRNA from 1 species
UCGCCCAGAGGUGAUUGAUGGCAGCGGCGGCGGCGACGGCGACCGUUGGCGAAAUGUGCACCGGCCAGCAUGAACACCUCCGCCGCUCAGCGUGUUCGCUUGACGCGAUAUGGCAGGCGCCUCCACUCCCAUGCCGCCACCGUCUCGUGAUUACUCUUCUGCAGGUCAGCCAGUGCAAAGGUAGGAUUGGGGCUUAAUUCCUCGUAUCUUUCCGCGCUAGAUUCGAUCUCUGCAGGUUUGUUGUACUUUUAAAUCUUUCAUGGAUCUUAAGUUUCUGAAUAUGUAUUUCAGCCGUGAACGGUUUCAGGAUUCAUCUUUGAUCUAUGUGUUGUGCUUGUGUACUGGACGUGUUAUUCGUCUUUUCUGGUGCUUUUCUGUACCGUUUAAUUUGCUGCGUUGGUGGACAAACGAGGUUACUGGAAGAAGGGGUGCCACCUCCAGCAACGUAGAGGAGAAGGGGUGUUGCUGUCCGCCACAUCUAGCUUGUCCCCAAAAUUGUUGAACUUCUGCUCCUGAGGAGACAAAAGGGAUGCAACAACGGGGUGAGAAGAUCAGAGUGAUGUACUGAAGCCUCCCGUUCCACAUGUUCAGUACUUGCACCUCAACGUCACUUUUUGAGUAGGUUAGGUCGAUCCCUAAUCUCUGUUCCAAUUUAUUCUUUGGUCAUUAUUCUCAGGCUCCUUUUAAAUUAGUGAUUUAUGCUUUGCUUCUGUAUUUUCUUUAGGUUGCAGGUUGUAAGUUGAUUUUGAUUGCUAGCUAGAUUUAUUAAUUAAUCAUCAAUUCAUUUGUAUAUUUCUUAGAGAAUUAACCUAGCCUACAUAAAUGGAUCGGCACCAUAUUUGGACCGAGUAUUAUACUUACUUUAAGUUCAACAUGGUUUAAGUUUGCCAAAAUGCAGGGUAAACAUCAACAUGACUAGGGACAGGCAAAAUGCAAUUUGAAAUCGAUAAUUACUACUGUUGUGUUAGUUUGCUGCCUGAUCAUGAUCAUUCUCUCAAUACGUUGCUCUACAUUGAAAUUACAUCAUCUUUCUCCUCUUGAUUAUUUUCUUCAGUAACUCAGUUGUUGUAGGCUUGGGUCAGAAUAAGCAUAAAAAAGGAACUUAAGUAGCUCGGUGCCGAUGAGGGGUUCACAUAAGAAUAGCUACAAGUAAAGAAUGUCAAUAGCUUGUUGGUACUAGUCAGAACCUGCAUUUCCACCUUAUCAAUCCAUUCAUAACAUUUAUUCAUGUAGUAUUCCUUAUGCUGGUUUUAUUUGGUUUCUGUGGUGCUUUACCAGAGCCCACAUUUGGAUUUACCUCAUUAUUCCAAUUUUUUAUCUGCUUGAGAAGAUUAGGUCAUUAGUGAAACUAGACAUUUUUCUCAUGAGAAGGUUUGGUACAUAACAUACGGUACUAUACUGACAUCCUAUGUUUAUAGUUUUUUUUAUGAAACAACCUAUAUGGAGGCAUUAGUAAUAUUUCUUGUACCAGUAGAAGAUAUUGAUAAAUGUGUUAUAUCGUUGAUCUUACAGUUAAUUUUUCUAGAUUUGGUGUAUAAGUUCUUUAUCUGUUCCGUGGAUACUUCAUAUGCGGAAGAUAAAGAUCGACUAUUAUCGGAGGUGUCUGAUGCUUCUCUGUACCGUUUAAUUUGCAGUGUUGGCGGACAAACGGGCUUACUGGAAGAAGGGAAAAAUCUGAAGGAGAUAAAAAGGUUAUUUUCUUCCAUUUUCCUUAGAAGCCUCCAUAUAUUUUGAUCCUUUUUUUGGACCUUCAGCAGCCAUGUUCGUUGUGUCUGUAUCAUUUCCACCUAUCUUCUCACUCUUGAACCAUUUGGCUCCGGGGUCGAUGUUUUCUUCAUACAUGCAACUGAUCUUGCAUCGCAUCAGAAACUAUGUCCCUAAAUAAGCCCCCACCUGGUGUAUAUUUAGUGUAUAUGUCCUUGCUUAUCUGUUUUGUGGAUACUUCAUAUGCAGAAGAUAAAGAUAAACUAUUAUCGGAGGUUAUUUUACUUAGUUGUACUCCCUCCGUUCCUAAAUAUAAGUUUUUUUAGACUUCUUGAGCCAAUCUCUAUUUAUUGUCGAUGCAUCUUCCAAAAUAAACGAAAAAAUGUUUUCUCCAUAUAUGAAUGACACAUUGACACUAUGGAAUUUUCCAGUCAACUGAUCCUCCUAAGCCUCAUCCUGCAUUCAAUACAUUUAUGUUCCAUUGCUAAUUUCAUUUGUGAUGCCUUAGGAUGGAAAUGUUCCUCGGCACCUUGAUAAACAUCAGUGGGGGGACAACCUUUUAUUUAAUUUUCUGCUGCCGCUUCUGUAUUGUCGAUGCCACAAAGAUUACCUGGACACAAAACCAUGGUGUGUUUAAAAAUGAUUACAUUAUCCUUUUCUAAACUGAUGGUGUUAGAAACAUCUUAGCAUUCGGGCAGGAUUAGGCAGCCCUUUCAUGGAUCUGUUUCUCAUACUAACAUGUUUUGACCUUUGCCGGUGCGUGGUGUCUGUUACAGAUAUAUUUGGGAUACAUGUAUUUGAUAGUCUAGGAUUUGUAAUCUGUCUCCUACCUUAUCUUAAGGAGAGGCGUCUUGCCCUCCAAGUCUUGCACUCAAUAUAUACUCGCCCUCGAGGCUCAAUAAUACAUCCAUCAUAUU